rnacentral:miRNA from 1 species
CUUGGAAGGCAAGGCCUCCUAAUCAUGUUUGAGAGUAAGCCGCUCAAAGAGAUGCUCGCUGAGAGACAGCGAGGGCCCAGCCAGCUUACAGAUGAGGAGCUUCACCUCCU